GACAGAGGGUGCAAACGUUGUUCGGAUUUACUGGGCGUAAAGCGCGUGUAGGCGGCCUUGCAAGUCGGAUGUGAAAGCCCACGGCUCAACCGUGGAAGUGCAUCCGAAACUGCAUAGCUUGAGUCUCGGAGAGGAAGGUGGAAUGCUUGGUGUAGAGGUGAAAUUCGUAGAUAUCAAGCAGAACACCUGCGGCGAAGGCGGCCUCCUGGACGAUGACUGACGCUGAGACGCGAAAGCGUGGGGAGCAAACAGG
rnacentral:rRNA from 1 species